UACAGAGGGUGCGAGCGUUAUCCGGAAUUACUGGGCGUAAAGCGUGCGCAGGCGGUUCGUUAAGUCAGAUGUGAAAGCCCCGGGCUCAACCUGGGAACUGCAUUUGAAACUGGCGGGCUUGAGUGUGGCAGAGGGGGGUGGAAUUCCGCGUGUAGCAGUGAAAUGCGUAGAGAUGCGGAGGAACACCGAUGGCGAAGGCAGCCCCCUGGGCCAACACUGACGCUCAGGCACGAAAGCGUGGGGAGCAAACAGG
rnacentral:rRNA from 1 species